rnacentral:tRNA from 1 species
AGUCUUGUAAACCGAAAAAGGAGAACCUCACUCCUCCCUAAGACU